rnacentral:rRNA from 1 species
UGGGGAAUAUUGCACAAUGGGGGAAACCCUGAUGCAGCGACGCCGCGUGAGCGAAGAAGGUUUUCGAAUCGUAAAGCUCUGUCCUAUGAGAAGAUAAUGACGGUAUCAUAGGAGGAAGCCCCGGCUAAAUACGUGCCAGCAGCCGCGGUAAUACGUAUGGGGCGAGCGUUGUCCGGAAUUAUUGGGCGUAAAGGGUACGUAGGCGGUCUAUUAAGUCAGGUGUGAAAGCGUGAGGCUUAACCUCAUUAAGCACUUGAAACUGAUAGACUUAAGUGAAGGAAAGGAAAGUAGAAUUCCUAGUGUAGCGGUGAAAUGCGUAGAUAUUAGGAGGAAUACCGGUGGCGAAGGCGACUAUCUGGACUUUUACUGACGCUCAGGUACGAAAGCGUGGGGAGCAAACAGG